AUUGAACGCUGGCGGCAGGCCUAACACAUGCAAGUCGAACGGUAACAGGCAGAAGCUUGCUUAUUUGCUGACGAGUGGCGGACGGGUGAGUAAUGUCUGGGAAACUGCCUGAUGGAGGGGGAUAACUACUGGAAACGGUAGCCAAUACCGCAUAACGUCGCAAGAGCAAAGAGGGGGACCUUCGGGGCUUUUGCCAUCGGAUGUGCCCAGAUGGGAUUAGCUAGUAGGUGGGGUAACGGCUCACCUAGGCGACGAUCCCUAGCUGGUCUGAGAGGAUGACCAGCCACACUGGAACUGAGACACGGUCCAGACUCCUACGGGAGGCAGCAGUGGGGAAUAUUGCACAAUGGGCGCAAGCCUGAUGCAGCCAUGCCGCGUGUAUGAAGAAGGCCUUCGGGUUGUAAAGUGCUUUCGGCGGGGAGGAAGCGGGUAAAGUUAAUACCUGGACUCAUUGACGUUACCCGCAGAAGAAGCACCGGCUAACUCCGUG
rnacentral:rRNA from 1 species